GACUUCUGGUUUAAUGCACCUGGCCCGCGGCCUCUUAGGCCUGUGAGUGCCGGCGCGCGUUUACCAUCCUUCCAGAUAACGAGUCUUCCCUUCACUGGGCCGGAUUCGGGUCUGGAUCCUUUACUUUGAAAAAAUUAGAGUGUUUAAAGCAGGCAAUACAUUAGCAUGGAAUAAUAAUCUGGUUUCUUUAACUGAAGUAAUGAUUGAUAGGGACAGUUGGGGGUGCUAGUAUGUGAAAUUCUGGAUUCGGUCAAGACGAAAGCAUU
rnacentral:rRNA from 1 species